CNGCCUGGCGGCGAAUGGCGAACGGGUGAGUUAUACAUCGGAACGUGCCCUGUCCUGGGGGAUAACUANUCAAAAGAUUAACUAAUACCGCAAACGACCCGAGGGUGAAAGCGGGGGACCGGNAACCCCCUCGCGCUAGNAGCCCCCCAUGUCUGAAUAGAUUUUUUUUGGGGGAAAGGUGCCCACCCGCGACAAUAACUAUCUCUGGUCUGAGGAGAAGAUCC
rnacentral:rRNA from 1 species